rnacentral:tRNA from 1 species
GAGCCAUUAGCUCAGCUGGUAGAACAUCUGACUUUUAAUCAGAGGGUCAGAGGUUCGAAUCCUCUAUGGCUCA